UGGGCUCAAGUGAUUCUCCCAUCUCAACCUCCUGAGCAGCCGGGACCACAGAUGCCACCAACGUUGGCUAAUUUUUAAUUUUUUCUGUAGAGACAAGAUCUCCCUAUGUUGCCCAGGCUGGUUUCAAACUCCUGGGCUCAAGCGAUCCUCCCACCUCAGCCUCCGAAAGUGCUGGAAUUACAGGUGUAAGCCACUGUGUGCCCAUCCAGGUGUAAGCUUUCCUAUGUUAGGGUCAACUGAUUUGGGACCUUAAUUGCAUGUUCAAAAUUUAUUCAUAGCAACACAUUUAUCCAUGCCAUUGUAAGUGAUAGGUAAGUACAAAUCUUAUAUAAAGACAAAUGUAAACAUAACUAAACAUAAAUAUAAA
rnacentral:lncRNA from 1 species